AGUUCUUUCCUAUUGGGCUCCUUUCCUCGUCUCAGCCGUUCAUGCCUCUUGACUCAGCAGGGGGAGACAAAGUUCCAAAGACCCUGCCCGCUGCACCUGUCAGCACCAGAAAGCCACAUGUGCUUCAUUUCAUCAUGACUUUACAUCCGUUGGUUUUGAAACCCUCCUGGCUAGUUAUUCUCUCAGAAGUUCUCGGUCCCCCAACCUGGCAGCCUUCUGUUACCACUGGUGAUGCCCCACCUGUUUUACUGAAAGAUCAGGAUUAUCUGGAGUUUCUCCACUUGGGCAUUUCUCUGUUUUGCACAGGAAUUGUUGCCUUAACUUCACUCUAAAUUCCAUUCCUUUUGAUUAGCUUCUCUCCAUCUUUUUUUUUCUCGUCUUUCAAUCCUCCAGGCCUCUCAGCUGAGACCUUGAACCUUCCCUUCCACACCUUGCUUCUACCAUCCCCCUACUAUGAAUAGUAACCUGUUCUCCAAAUGGAUGGUCUUCCCACGCGCACCUCAGCCAUGCUCUCCCUGUGAGGCUCUCGUUGUUAGAUGUGCUCUACUGAGUGAAAAUCUUUGGUUUUUUUAAAAAUUCAUUUAUUUUAUUUGUUUUUAUUUUUGGCUGCAUUGGGUCUUCGUUGCUGCGCAUGCGCUUUCUCUAGUUGUGGCGAGGAGGGGCUACUCUUCGUUGCGGUGUGCGGGCUUCUCAUUGCGGUGGCUUCUCUUGUUGCGGAGCACGGGCUCUGGGUGCGCGGGGUUCAGUAGUUGUGGCACGUGGGCUCAGUAGUUGUGGCUCGCGGGCUCUAGAGCGCAGGCUCAGUAGUUGUGGCGCACGGGCUUAGUUGCUCCGCAGCAUGUGGGAUCUUCCCCGACCAGGGCUCGAACCCGUGUCCCCUGCAUUGGCAGGUGGAUUCUUAACCAUUGCGCCAUCAGGGAAGCCCCCUGAGUGAAAAUCUUACAGUGUCUUGCAUUUGUCCUAAUUCUUCCAAAGUAACACAGAUAUAUAUUUUCUCUUGAUAUAUUUGGAGACAACUUCCCUCUUUCCCUUUCAGCUUUUUACGCUUCUAAUCUUAAAUUUUUAUUGAAGCUAUUCCCCCAAGCAUUGCUUUCUGAUCAAAGCUGGCCGUCUCUGUUCUUUACUUUUGAUGUCGUUAACUACCUUCUUAUUCUUUGAAUUCCACUUUUGUCUCCAUUUUGAUAUCUCCUUUUCCUCCUAAUCCUCAGUCGUAAGAAAACUCUCUAGACAAAAUUGUUUCAUCUUCUGUGUUCCAGACGCUCUCGUUCAUACUCUAUUUUUAGCUUUGUCAUCACUCGUCCACAAAACUCUAGAAAGUCAGGACUACCUUCUAAUCAUUUUGAAAAAUCCUCUCAUGCAGUGCCUGGCAGGUAGGUGGUAGAACUUAGUUAGUGUUUAAUUUUUCUCUGUCCAGUUCCAGUACUUCUUUUGCACAGUUCGCUGUUUCAUAUUUUUCUGAAACCUCCCAAUGACUACCAAUUUUUUCUCUCUAGCCCCAAUUUGUUACUCAUUUUCCAAUCUUAAAUUGCCUUGCGGUCACCAGGAUGUCCUGCUGGCAGCCCAGUGUAAUAGAGUUCAUUUUCUCACCCCAGUCCCUGCAAACCCACUUCCCCCAUAACUUUCCUAGUGGUCUUUGUUUAAUAAGCUGCUUGAAGCAUUUUUGAGUAAACUUAGGCAUCAAGGCACAUUUUGAUCCUUAUUCAUUAAGUAGCUCUCUCGCAUUACUGGGCCCGGAGUCUCCACUGUGCCGUAAUUCUCACAUUUUCUGGGUUGUCUUUAACUGUCAGUGGCAACGCCAUCUUCCCCAGGCCCCCAGCCUUAGGGAUAUUUGUGGAUACAUCUUUUUCUCUCUCCUUUGUCCUCAGCCUCCAGGUGUUGCUGAUUCUUUCUCACUUGCUUUUCUAGCUCAUCUUUCUUGUUGAUUUCUAAGCCAUUUUCCUCUGCCUGAAUUAUUCUCAAUGGCCUUAUUUUUGGUGUCCCUCUUCUAGGCUUCCCUGCUCCAGUCUGUGCCAUGCUCAACUCUCAGAAUAAUCCUGUUAAACGGUAUUUUUGUGGUGUUUUUCUCCUGCUCAUAUAUCAAAAAGGACUUUUUUUCCUGGAUUAAUGUUGAGAUCUUGCAUGAAGCCUCAUCUCUAGCUAGAAAAUCGGGGAGACCAGAGAUCUGAGGAUGAGAAAACAGAUGCCCAGACAGAAGGUGACUGACUGUUGGUCUCAGCAAUGCUUGGGGUGAACUAAUUAGAAAAGAGGAUUUAAGAACCACAAAUGUCCCCAGGGAAACCAGGGCUAUGUGCCCUUUGUGAAUGUGUUACUGACACCAGCUCAUUUAAUCUUCUUAUCAACCUUAAGGGCGAAAACACCCUCACUGAUAACCUUGCCACGCGUAGUAGACAGAUGCAGCGCUACAAUCCCACUGUGGAGAGAUCUGGAGGACAGUGAUGGAGGAAAAUCUUCCCAGUAGGCAGAACUUGAGCAGUUCAUCUGGUUGUUUGUUUUGCCUGGAAGGAGCAAUGGCUAGAGGUAUGGGUUUACAUCGAUUCAUGGGCUGUGGCUACUGGUUUGGCUGGACGGUCAGGGACUUGGAAGAACCAUGAUUGGAAAAUUGAUGACAAGGAGGUCUGGAGAACAGGUAGGCAAAUAGGUUUCUCUGAAUGGAAAUGAAAUGGUGGACUCAGCAGAGGAGGAUUUUAAUAAUCAGGUGGACAGAAUGUCAUUCUGUGGAUGUCAGUCAGCCUCCUUCCCCAGCCAGUCCAGCCACUGCCCAAUGUCAGGGAUAAAGUUUAUGCAUGGGUCGUCAACAUGGACUUCCACUCACCAAGGCUGAUCUGGCUGUAACCACAGCCA